AGAGAACUUAGCAGAGGAGAGUUGAAAGCAGAGGCACAGGCUGCAAUAAUCGAUUUGUGGAAGAGAGGAGAUUUCAGUCUUUAGUUGGCAGAGAAGAGAUUAGGAGGAUGGUGGUGGGUGGUGCUGUGAUGGGUUUGAAUAUGGGUAUUGGUCAAGGGGGGUGUGAAUGUGCAGAGGAGGAGCUGUCAGUGUAUGGGGGUUGCGGCAUUUGAAGGGCAGGUCGGUCUGGCCAUGUGAGAGGGAUGAGCGUAGGUGGGCUGGCUGUGUGAGUAGCCGGUGUCAGAGAGAGGGAUGAGGGCUUCAGUCUGCUAUGUGGGUUUUGGGGAAGCUAACUGGUGAGGAGAAGGGUGAUGGCAGGUAGGUUACAUGGAGGACAGAGAAAGGAUUUAUUACAUGUUUGCUAAAUUGUAUAUUUUUUUUAAUUUUUUGAUGCCACGUGUACAAUUUGCUGGAAGAAUGGCUGGAUUCUAGCCAAUGGGAUUUUUGAUGCAUCAAUUUUAAAGUUAUGCGAUUUUAGAGCAACAAAUUGAAGUUGGGGGACGAAUUGUAUAAUUUACACUACCCAAUUUAAUGAUGAAG
rnacentral:misc_RNA from 1 species